UACGUAGGGUCCGAGCGUUGUCCGGAAUUACUGGGCGUAAAGGGUUCGUAGGCGGUCUGUCGCGUCGGUAGUGAAAACUCAGGGCUCAACCCUGAGCGUGCUUUCGAUACGGGCAGACUAGAGGUAUGCAGGGGAGAAUGGAAUUCCUGGUGUAGCGGUGGAAUGCGCAGAUAUCAGGAGGAACACCGGUGGCGAAGGCGGUUCUCUGGGCAUUACCUGACGCUGAGGAGCGAAAGCAUGGGGAGCGAACAGGAUUAGAUACCCCGGUAGU
rnacentral:rRNA from 1 species